GACCGAUAAAUGACAGAGUGUAACUAAUGACCAGAUAAAUGAUAGAGGGUAACUAAUGACCAAACUAAUGACCAGGUAACUAAUGACCAGAUAAAUGACAGAGAACUAAUGACCCAGAUAAAUGAAGAGGUAACUAAUGACCAGAUAAAUGAUAGAUUAACUAAUGACCAGAUAAAUGAUAGAGGUAACUAAUGACCAGAUAAAUGAUAGGGGUAACUUAAUGACCAGUAAAUAUAGGAGUAACAUAAUGACCAGAUAAAUGAUAGGGGUAAACUUACAUGACCAGAUAACUAAUGACCAGGUAACUAAUGACCAGGUAACUAAUGACCAGGUAACUAAUGACCAGAUAACUAAUGACCAGUAAAGAUAGGGUAACUUAAUGAUAAA
rnacentral:lncRNA from 1 species